UACGAAGGGUGCAAGCCUUACUCGGAAUUACUGGGCGUAAAGCGUGCGUAGGUGGUUUCUUAAGUCUGCUGUGAAAGCCCCGGGCUCAACCUGGGAAUUGCAGUGGAUACUGGGGAGCUAGAGUGCGGUAGAGGGUAGUGGAAUUCCCGGUGUAGCGGUGAAAUGCGUAGAGAUCGGGAGGAACACCAGUGGCGAAGGCGGCUACCUGGACCAGCACUGACACUGAGGCACGAAAGCGUGGGGAGCAAACAGG
rnacentral:rRNA from 1 species